UCGCAGCUUACGCUGGCAGUCUUGUUAGAGUCCUCAGCUUGACCUGUUAGUAACUAACAAUGUGGGUUGCGCUCGUUAUGGCACUUAAGCCGACACCUCACGGCACGAGCUGACGACAACCAUGCAGCACCUACACAUCUGCUAUUGCUAGAAGUCUAAUUUCUUAGACGGUCAGAUGCAUUUCAAGCCCGGGUAAGGUUCCUCGCGUAUCAUCGAAUUAAACCACAUGUUCCUCCGCUUGUGCGGGCCCCCGUCAAUUCCUUUGAGUUUCACCGUUGCCGGCGUACUCCCCAGGUGGAUUACUUAUCGCUUUCGCUUGGUCACUUGCGUUAUAUUGCAAACAUCGAGUAAUCAUCGUUUACAGCGUGGACUAC
rnacentral:misc_RNA from 1 species